UUGCAACCACAUCACAUUGAAACACCAGUUUCUGUAUGAUCAGUGAAGUUAAGCAUCACUGAGCCUGGUCAGUAAAUGGAUGGGUAACCACUAAGGAAUACCAGGUGUUGUAA